UACGUAGGGUGCAAGCGUUGUUCGGAAUCAUUGGGCGUAAAGCGCGUGCAGGCGGUUAGUUAAGUCGGGUGUGAAAUCCCUGGGCUUAACCGAGGAAGUGCAUUCGAAACUAACUAGCUAGAAGACAGUAGAGGAAGGUGGAAUUCCAAGUGUAGAGGUGAAAUUCGUAGAUAUUUGGAGGAAUACCGGCGGCGAAGGCGGCCUUCUGGACUGUUCUUGACGCUGAGACGCGAAAGCGUGGGUAGCAAACAGG
rnacentral:rRNA from 1 species